CCUACGGGCGGCUGUAGUGGGGAAUAUUGGACAAUGGGCGAAAGCCUGAUCCAGCCAUGCCGCGUGUGUGAAGAAGGCCUUCGGGUUGUAAAGCACUUUCAGUGGGGAAGAAAGCCUUGGGGCUAAUACCCUCGAGGAAGGACAUCACCCACAGAAGAAGCACCGGCUAACUCCGUGCCAGCAGCCGCGGUAAUACGGAGGGUGCGAGCGUUAAUCGGAAUUACUGGGCGUAAAGCGCGCGUAGGCGGUCUGAUAAGCCGGUUGUGAAAGCCCCGGGCUCAACCUGGGAACGGCAUCCGGAACUGUCAGGCUAGAGUGCAGGAGAGGAAGGUAGAAUUCCCGGUGUAGCGGUGAAAUGCGUAGAGAUCGGGAGGAAUACCAGUGGCGAAGGCGGCCUUCUGGACUGACACUGACGCUGAGGUGCGAAAGCGUGGGUAGCAAACAGGAUUAGAUACCCCUGUAGUC
rnacentral:rRNA from 1 species